AUACCACUUGUUGCCUCGGCGGAUCAGCCCGCUCCCGGUAAAACGGGACGGCCCGCCAGAGGACCCCUAAACUCUGUUUCUAUAUGUAACUUCUGAGUAAAACCAUAAAUAAAUCAAAACUUUCAACAACGGAUCUCUUGGUUCUGGCAUCGAUGAAGAACGCAGCAAAAUGCGAUAAGUAAUGUGAAUUGCAGAAUUCAGUGAAUCAUCGAAUCUUUGAACGCACAUUGCGCCCGCCAGUAUUCUGGCGGGCAUGCCUGUUCGAGCGUCAUUUCAACCCUCAAGCACAGCUUGGUGUUGGGACUCGCGUUAAUUCGCGUUCCUCAAAUUGAUUGGCGGUCACGUCGAGCUUCCAUAGCGUAGUAGUAAAACCCUCGUUACUGGUAAUCGUCGCGGCCACGCCGUUAAACCCCAACUUCUGAAUGUUGACCUCGGAUCAGGUAGGAAUACCCGCUGAACUUAAGCAUAUC
rnacentral:rRNA from 1 species